GACAGAGGGGGCAAGCGUUGCUCGGAAUCACUGGGCGUAAAGGGCGCGUAGGCGGGCCGCCAAGUUCGAGGUGAAAUCCUCCGGCUCAACCGGAGAACUGCCUCGAAUACUGGAGGCCUCGAGGCGGGUAGGGGCGUGCGGAACUGUGGGUGGAGCGGUGAAAUGCGUUGAUAUCCACAGGAACUCCGGUGGCGAAGGCGGCACGCUGGACCCGAUCUGACGCUGAGGCGCGAAAGCCAGGGGAGCAAACGGG
rnacentral:rRNA from 1 species